AACGAACGCUGGCGGCAUGCCUAACACAUGCGAGUCGAACGAAGCCUUCGGGCUUAGUGGCGCACGGGUGCGUAACGCGUGGGAAUCUGCCCUUGGGUUCGGAAUAACAGUUAGAAAUGACUGCUAAUACCGAAUGAUGUCUUCGGACCAAAGAUUUAUCGCCCAAGGAUGAGCCCGCGUCGGAUUAGCUAGUUGGUGAGGUAAAGGCUCACCAAGGCGACGAUCCGUAGCUGGUCUGAGAGGAUGAUCAGCCACACUGGGACUGAGACACGGCCCAGACUCCUACGGGAGGCAGCAGUGGGGAAUAUUGGACAAUGGGCGAAAGCCUGAUCCAGCAAUGCCGCGUGAGUGAUGAAGGCCCUAGGGUUGUAAAGGCUCUUUUACCAGGGAUGAUAAUGACAGUACCUGGAGAAUAAGCUCCGGCUAACUCCGUGCCAGCAGCCGCGGUAAU
rnacentral:rRNA from 1 species